AUUGAACGCUGGCGGCAGGCCUAACACAUGCAAGUCGAACGAGUGGCGGACGGGUGAGUAAUGUCUGGGAAACUGCCUGAUGGAGGGGGAUAACUACUGGAAACGGUAGCUAAUACAGCAUACCAUCAGAUGUGCCCAGAUGGGAUUAGCUUGUUGGUGGGGUAACGGCUCACAAAGGAGACGAUCCAUAGCUGGUCUGAGAGGAUGACCAGCCAAACUGGAACUGAGCAACGGUCCAUACUCCUACGGGAGGCAGCAGUGGUGAAUAUUGCACAAUGGGCGCAAGCCUGAUGCAGCCAUGCCGCGUGUAUGAAGAAGGCCUUCGGGUUGUAAAGUACUGUCAGCGGGGAGGCGUUACCCGCAGAAGAAGCACCGGCUAACUCCGUGCCAGCCGCCGCGGUAAUUC
rnacentral:rRNA from 1 species